UUGGAGGGCAAGUCUGGUGCCAGCAGCCGCGGUAAUUCCAGCUCCAAUAGCGUAUAUUAAAGUUGUUGCAGUUAAAAAGCUCGUAGUUGAAUUUCGGGGUUCUUCCGUUGGUCAGGCUAACCAGUCUGUACUAGCGUGUAGAAUUCCUACCUUCUGGGGAACCAUCAUGUUAUUAAUUUAGCGUGGUGGGAAACCAGGACCUUUACCUUGAAAAAAUUAGAGUGUUCAAAGCAGGCUUACGUCUGAAUACAUUAGCAUGGAAUAAUAAAAUAGGACGGUGGUCCUGUUUUGUUGGUUUCUGAAUCACCGUAAUGAUUAAUAGGGAUAGUUGGGGGCAUUAGUAUUCAAUUGUCAGAGGUGAAAUUCUUGGAUUUAUUGAAGACUAACUUCUGCGAAAGCAUUUGCCAAGGAUGUUUUCAUUAAUCAAGAACGAAAGUUAGGGGAUCGAAGACGAUCAGAUACCGUCGUAGUCUUAACCAUAAACUAUGCCGACUAGGGAUCGGACGAUGUUAAAUUUUAUUGACUCGUUCGGCGCCUUACGGGAAAC
rnacentral:rRNA from 1 species